CGGAAUAUAAUAUCAUCACAUUUCGUCAACAGUUAAAUGAAAAUCUCCAAAAUAGCCAUGUCAACAUACUACACAUACCAUCAUCAAUACAUAGUCUCAAAAAUCCUCAAUAGUCAUAAUAAAGGUAAACACCAAAGACUGACACCUACUCGGAGCCCUAGAGACUAAGACACCAAAAGCAGUAGACGAGGUAGAUCCAAGCUAUCCUCAAGCAACUCACCAAGUAAAGCAAACUGCUCCUACACGUCGUCUACCUAUUCAUAAGAAUAAGGCAGACAGUCAACCAAACGACCAAUGUGGGUUAGUUCACAUCUCAUAAUUAAAGUACAAUCAAACAUAAGCAUUAAAGGAUUUGUGCAUAACACAUAUACAUACUUAACAUUCUUAGAAUACUAAUUCCACAUGGAUAUUAUAUUUCCACUAUCAUAUCAUAUCAACAUAUUCAUUCUUAAUCAACAUUAUCAUCACAAGCUUAUCGCCUAACAACACCGAUCAAUAUAAGAAUUUCUCACCUCAUUUCUUAUUUAGCCUAAUAAUCAAACUACACUAAUCUCAUCAUUUAGGAAUUAUAAUCCUACAUGUCACUCUAUUCAUUUUACAUAAAGUACAUAUUAUCAUAAUAUAUACAAAUCAUCUAAUUCACACCAAUCAUAUAUGUCAUCUAAACCCUUGCCUAAUCGACUUAACAACUACAGUCCUUCAUUUCCAAAGUUUAGGUAAAGAAGUCAUCGACACCAAAGAAAUCAUCAAAUCAUAUACAUGUAAUUCACGCUUAUUAUUAUCACCAAAAUAAACAUCAUCAAUUAAAAUCACCAAGUACACAAGCAUCACCAAAAUAUCAAAUAUCAACAUGCACACAUCUUCACACAAUUCACAUAAUCACAACGUUCACCGAAUUUCACCAAUGCCCAAAUUCACCAAGUCACAUAUUCAAUUAUGACACGACUCACCAAGUAUUCAAAUGCAUGCAAUGUUCUAGACUCUUCUCUAGAUACAUGUGGUACCAAAUUUUGGACAUCGGAGGUAAUAUUAUCGAAUAAUCCACCCAUCAUCGUGAUUUCCAUCUUCGUGAUUAAUUUGGAUACAAUCGAAUAUAUCGAUUCAUUCUCCCAUCUUCGUGAUUACAUACUCAAUGAAUGCAUUGACUUCAAGUAAUGACUCGACAAUGCAUGACUAAAAACUCAUCAUCGUUAUAUAAUUUACAUCAUUAUAUAAUAUAUAUAUCCCAUCUUUGUGAUUCUCACCAUUAAUUAACACCUCAUUUGCAUCGUCAAGUAAUUACAAUCCAUACAUAACAAAUCAUCAUCAACAUCAUCAUAAGUAAACAUCAAAACAUAAUCAUAUUUAUCACCAAACAUUCAUCAAUUAGUCAUCGCCAAAAGAUACACCUUCACUUCAUAAUUCAUAAGUUAUAAUUCAACAAGAGUCAUCAUCAAUUCAUCAAAUUAAAAUCACCAAAGAAUAAUCAUCAAUAACUAUCACUUCAAGGAAACAUCACCUUUUAACAAUCACAUUUUACAUAAAAGAAAGACAACUAACCACAUUAUGUCAUUCAUCAUUUUUGACACGCAAUCUUCAUUGACUCAAUCUUAUUCUAUCAUGUUAUCAUGAAGGUAAAACCAUUUGCAAGUUAUCCGGUCAUGAAACCACAUUUUAACAACGUUCGUCUAUUUUCACCGCUUUCUACAUUUUCUAAGUAAUUCCACAAAACAAGGUAAACAUGGUCAAACACUCCAACCAAGCAUAUACACUACUCACAUAUGAUCACAGUAGCAUAUGCAUAUAAGCAUCAUAUGCCAAGUCCGAUUAAUUUCAAAAUUCCACUAAGUUCGUCUCAUUUUAUCAUUUUUCGAAAAGAAUUCCAAUUUUCAAAGUAAAACCAAGUUAAAGCUCAUGAUUAUCAUCCAAACCAUUUUUAUAAAUCAAGGUUACAGUAAACAACCCUAACCCUACCAUUUGAGAAAAACAAGUUUCAAAAAAUUGUUGUUCUUGAACAUUUUUCUAAAAGUUUUCGAUUUGAUUCACAAAAUCAAUUACAAUCCAAGUAAAAGAGGUUAUCCCAUGUUUAUAAAGCAAGACAGUAGUCAAACACAUCAAAAGGAACACUUAGAGGUGUCCGAGAAACACCCAAAAGGCUCGGAACGCCAAAAUCUAGGGUUGCUGUCACUAGGCAACUCGUCAUGGUGAGCUGCCACUCGCUGGGCGAGUUUGACAGUAAUUUUCACCAAAAUCAUCAUGAUGUUCAUUAUUUACCAAAACCCAUAAUUUUCUCAAUUUUCAUUCAAAUUUCACAAACAACCACACCAAUUUAAACCCCAUCAACAUAAAAACAUUCAUGAAGUGAAUUCAAACAUGUUUCAACAACAAUCACUCACCAAUUCAUGAUUUACACUCAAUUAAUCAAAAAUCAUCAAAACAACUUAACAACAACAACAACAACCAUGAAGUUUAAGCACAUAACACAACAAUUUCAUGAAGUUUAUCAUACCCACAAAUUCACUUGAAUUAGGAGCACAAAUUUCAUCAUUCAAAAAUCACAAUAGUCACAAUUAACACAAAAGUAGUUAAACCCAUAAUUGAAAAUAAGAGAUUAUAGCUUAAUUAUGAAAAGGAAUCAUCCCUCUUACCUCUAGUCUUCAAGAAUCCUAACUUCUGCUUCACUUUAGCUCUUAGCUCUUCAAACCUCAAGCUCUCUCUCUAGCCUGGUCUUCUAUCCUCUUGAUCUACU
rnacentral:lncRNA from 1 species